rnacentral:rRNA from 1 species
CCAGUGGGGAAUAUUAUCCAUUGGCCGCAACCCUAAAACAGCCCAUCCCCGCGUGGAAAGAAAAAACCCUUCGGGUUGUAAAGUUCUUUUAAGGAGGAAAGAAGGCAUUUAAGAUUAAUACCCGAAAGGGAUUGACGUUACUCGCAGAAGAAGCCCCGGGCUAACUCCGUCCCCAGCAGCCGGGGUAAUACGGAGGGUGCAAGCUUUUUAUCGGAAUUCCUGGGGGUAAAGGGCACGCAGGCGGUCUGUCAAGUCGGAUGUGAAAUCCCCGGGCUCCCCCUGGGAACUGCAUCCGAAACUGGCAGGCUAGAGUCUUGUAGAGGGGGGUAGAAUUCCAGGUGUAGCGGUGAAAUGCGUAGAGAUCUGGAGGAAAACCGGUGGGGAAGGCGGCCCCCUGGACAAAGACUGACGCUCAGGUGCGAAAGCGUGGGGAGCAAACAGGAUUAGAUACCCUGGUAGUCCACGCCGUAAAUUAUGAUGAAUGGGGGGUUGUGCCCUUGAGGCGGGCUACCGGAGCUAACGCGUUAAGUCGUCCCACCUGUGAUUUUGUUGGGGCU